rnacentral:lncRNA from 1 species
AAAAAGCAAAAAAAAAACGAAAAAAAUAAAAUAAAAAUUUAAUAAAUAAAUAAAUAAAAGAAAAAAUCUCAGACUUAGACCUCUCUCAAAAGUCCACUAAGCUACCAAUAUUAGGCUAUAAAUACUGGAGUUUUCAUUGAAACAAAACCCUGUACAAAACCUGGAAAGAAACCUAGACAGAGGGAGUGAGAAUUAAUCUGCAACAACCU